rnacentral:lncRNA from 1 species
GCAUCUCCAGCAGUUUCCAACUCAGUGCGGGUCGCAACCCACCAAUCAUCAGCUUCCUCUGACAGCAUAUGUGUACCGAACCUGACCUUCUAGUUAUCAGCACACUCAGUUACUCUGAAGAUCCUCUCUAUCUCCUUCAACCACUUCUGAGCACCAUCUGGAUCGUAUGCUCCUUUGAACAUUGGAGGAUUGUUCUUCUGGAACUCACUCAGUU